GCUUUCGUAGCUCAGUGGUAGAGCGUGCGUUUCGUAAGCGCAAGGUCCCGUGUUCAAUCCACGGCGGAAGCA
rfam:Coccomyxa subellipsoidea C-169, whole genome shotgun sequence.